rnacentral:rRNA from 1 species
UACAGAGGUCUCAAGCGUUUGUUCGGAUUCAUUGGGCGUAAAGGGUGUGUAGGUGGCGCCGUAAGUCGGGUGUGAAAUUUCGAAGCUUAACUCCGAAACUGCAUUCGAUACUGCGGUGCUUGAGGACUGGAGAGGAGACUGGAAUUCAUGGUGUAGCAGUGAAAUGCGUAGAGAUCAUGAGGAAGACCAGUGGCGAAGGCGGGUCUCUGGACAGUUCCUGACACUGAGACACGAAGGCCAGGGGAGCAAACGGGG